rnacentral:rRNA from 1 species
GACGAACGCUGGCGGCGUGCUUAACACAUGCAAGUCGAACGGAAAGGCCCUGCUUUUGUGGGGUGCUCGAGUGGCGAACGGGUGAGUAACACGUGAGUAACCUGCCCUUGACUUUGGGAUAACUUCAGGAAACUGGGGCUAAUACCGGAUAGGAGCUCCUGCUGCAUGGUGGGGGUUGGAAAGUUUCGGCGGUUGGGGAUGGACUCGCGGCUUAUCAGCUUGUUGGUGGGGUAGUGGCUUACCAAGGCUUUGACGGGUAGCCGGCCUGAGAGGGUGACCGGGCACAUGGGGCCUGCGAUACGGCCCAGAAUCCUACGGGAGGCAGCAGUGGGGAAUAUUGCACAAUGGGCGGAAGCCUGAGGCAGCAACGCCGCGUGCGGGAUGACGGCUUUCGGGUUGUAAACCGAUUUCUCCUGUGACGAAGCGUGAGUGACGGUAAUGGGUAAAGAAGCAACGGCUAACUACGUG